rnacentral:rRNA from 1 species
ACGGGAGGCAGCAGUGGGGAAUAUUGGACAAUGGGGGAGACCCUGAUCCAGCGACGCCGCGUGAGUGAAGAAGUAUUUCGGUAUGUAAAGCUCUAUCAGCAGGGAAGAUAAUGACGGUACCUGACUAAGAAGCCCCGGCUAACUACGUGCCAGCAGCCGCGGUAAUACGUAGGGGGCAAGCGUUAUCCGGAUUUACUGGGUGUAAAGGGAGCGUAGACGGCUGUGCAAGUCUGAAGUGAAAUCCGCGGGCUCAACCCGUGAACUGCUUUGGAAACUGUAUAGCUAGAGUGCAGGAGAGGUAAGUGGAAUUCCUAGUGUAGCGGUGAAAUGCGUGGAUAUUAGGAGGAACACCAGUGGCGAAGGCGGCUUACUGGACUGUAACUGACGUUGAGGCUCGAAAGCGUGGGGAGCAAACAGGAUUAGAUACCCUGGUA